rnacentral:rRNA from 1 species
AUGAGAACAGGGAAAUCUCCCUCUAGGGGUUUAUUUCCCUGGUAUUUUCCUACCCAACAACCAAAUGAGGCCUGGAUGGUGGAGGUGACCGCAGGAAGAAAAUUGCCUAAUGCUUGUCUCAUGAGAAAUUUGGAAGGAGCACAACGCAAGGAUUUUUUAAAAUGUCUCCGCACCAACUUCCAUUGUUAUUGCAAAAAUAAUAAAGGAGACCCAUCUUUGGAGUUUGGCAGGAGCCAAGCAGCUUUGUAUUUUUAUGUCGCGAGAGUGGACUUUUUCUUUUUGCCGCUCGCGGCUUAUGUCUAA